UACGGGGGGGGCAAGCGUUGUUCGGAAUUACUGGGCGUAAAGGGCUCGUAGGUGGCCAACUAAGUCAGACGUGAAAUCCCUCGGCUUAACCGGGGAACUGCGUCUGAUACUGGAUGGCUUGAGAUUGGGAGAGGGAUGCGGAAUUCCAGGUGUAGCGGUGAAAUGCGUAGAUAUCUGGAGGAACACCGGUGGCGAAGGCGGCAUCCUGGACCAAUAUUGACGCUGAGGAGCGAAAGCCAGGGGAGCAAACGGG
rnacentral:rRNA from 1 species